GGCAGCAUGGUGAAGUAGUUUAAACAUUGGACUAUGACUCUGGAGACUAGGGUUCGAAUCCCUGCCUGGGCA